GAUUAGCAUAUCAAUAAGCGGAGGAAAAGAAACCAACAGGGAUUGCCCUAGUAACGGCGAGUGAAGCGGCAGCAGCUCAAAUUUGAAAUCUGGUCCUUCUGGGGCCCGAGUUGUAAUUUGUAGAGGGUGCUUUGGCGUUGGCCCUGGUCUAAGUCCCCUGGAACGGGGCGUCACAGAGGGUGAGAAUCCCGUAUGUGGCCGGUGGCCCUCGCCUUGUAAAGCCCCUUCAACGAGUCGAGUUGUUUGGGAAUGCAGCUCUAAAUGGGAGGUAAAUUUCUUCUAAAGCUAAAUAUUGGCCAGAGACCGAUAGCGCACAAGUAGAGUGAUCGAAAGAUGAAAAGCACUUUGGAAAGAGAGUCAAAAAGCACGUGAAAUUGUUGAAAGGGAAGCGCUUGCAGCCAGACUUGCUCGUAGUUGCUCAUCCAGGCUUCUGCCUGGUGCACUCUUCUGCGGGCAGGCCAGCAUCAGUCCGGGCGGUUGGAUAAAGGUCCUGGGAAUGUGGCUCCUCUCGGGGAGUGUUAUAGCCCAGGGCGUCAUGCAGCCAGCCCGAACUGAGGUCCGCGCAUCUGCUAGGAUGCUGGCGUAAUGGCUGUAAGCGGCCCGUCUUGAAACACGGACCAAGGAGUCUAACAUCUAUGCGAGUGUUUGGGUGUCAAGCCCGGACGCGUAAUGAAAGUGAACGGAGGUGGGAACCCUUUGGGGCGCACCAUCGACCGAUCCUGAUGUCUUCGGAUGGAUUUGAGUAAGAGCAUAGCUGUUGGGACCCGAAAGAUGGUGAACUAUGCCUGAAUAGGGUGAAGCCAGAGGAAACUCUGGUGGAGGCUCGCAGCGGUUCUGACGUGCAAAUCGAUCGUCAAAUUUGGGCAUA
rnacentral:rRNA from 1 species